rnacentral:tRNA from 1 species
GGCAGGAUAGCUCAGUGCUGAGAGCACAGACUCUGGACCCAGAGUCCCUGGGUUGGAAUCCUGGCUCUGCCA